AACGAACGCUGGCGGCAUGCCUAACACAUGCAAGUCGAACGAACCCUUCGGGGUUAGUGGCGCACGGGUGCGUAACGCGUGGGAAUCUGCUCUUUGCUUCGGAAUAACAGUUAGAAAUGACUGCUAAUACCGGACGAUGUCUUCGGACCAAAGAUUUAUCGGCAAGGGAUGAGCCCGCGUAGGAUUAGGUAGUUGGUGGGGUAAAGGCCUACCAAGCCGACGAUCCUUAGCUGGUCUGAGAGGAUGAUCAGCCACACUGGGACUGAGACACGGCCCAGACUCCUACGGGAGGCAGCAGUGGGGAAUAUUGGACAAUGGGCGCAAGCCUGAUCCAGCAAUGCCGCGUGAGUGAUGAAGGCCUUCGGGUCGUAAAGCUCUUUUACCAGGGAUGAUAAUGACAGUACCUGGAGAAUAAGCUCCGGCUAACUCCGUGCCAGCCGCCGCAGUAAAAC
rnacentral:rRNA from 1 species